rnacentral:rRNA from 1 species
AUUGAACGCUGGCGGCAGGCCUAACACAUGCAAGUCGAACGAGUGGCGGACGGGUUAGUAAUGUCUGGGAAACUGCCCGAUGGAGGGGGAUAACUACUGGAAACGGUAGCUAAUACCGCAUACCAUCGGAUGUUCCCAGGUGGGAUUGCUCAGUAGGUGGGGUAACGGCUCACCUAGGCGACGAUCCCUAGCUGGUCUGAGAGGAUGACAUGCCACCCGGGAACUUGUCCACGGUCCAGACUCCUACGGGUGGCAGCAGUGGGGAAUAUUUCACAAUGGGCGCAAGCCUGAUGCAGCCAUGCCGCGUGUAUGAAGAAGCCCUUCGGGUUGUAAAGUACUUUCAGCGAGGAGGCGUUACUCGCAGAAGAAGCACCGGCUAACUCCGUGCCAGCAGCCGCGGUAAUAC